rnacentral:misc_RNA from 1 species
UACGUAGGGUCCAAGCGUUAUCCGGAUUUACUGGGCGUAAAGCGUUCGUAGGCGGAUUAGUAAGUGUCGGGUUAAAUAUUAGGGCUCAACCCUAAAAUCGCUCGGCAUACUGCUUUUCUAGAGUUAGUUUGGGGAGGUUGGAAUUCUCGGUGGAGGGGUGAAAUCCGUUGAUAUCGAGAGGAACGCCAAGGGUGAAGACAGGCCUCGAAAACUAUACUGACGCUGAGGGACGAAAGCUAGGGUAGCAAACGGG